ensembl:lncRNA LINC00970 long intergenic non-protein coding RNA 970
AGGUACAGAAGGACUUGGUGUGCUAUUAUGCACAUUUCACAGAUGGCACAGAGUGGGGAAGUCAGUGACCCAAGGUGGCAAGCCAGCUCUUGCUGAUGGUGAGGAGCCUCAUUAUCUUAAGACAACACACAGUGGAGAUGUGCUUUACGUAAUUGGCCUGCCCUGUGAAAACCCCUGGCUGUUUUUUCAGAUAAGGAGACUGAAGCAUCUAGAGUUGGAGUAAUUUCCACAAGAUCACAGAGGCAAGAUUUCACUCUGUCACCCAGACUGGAGUGCAGUGGCACAAACAUAGCUCACUGAAGCCUCAAACUCCUGGGCUCAAGAGAUCCUUCUGCUUCAGCCUCCUGAGUAGCUGGGACUUCAGUCAAGGCCCAGCUCAGAAUAAAUUUCAGAAGCUUUCCCUGUCUCCCUCUGCUCACUGCCCUCUCCAUCCAAGCAGAAAGAACCUGCCUGUCUUCUGUGAUCUGCUGCCAUUGCACACACCCCUGUGACGUUCUCCUAUUGCCUCAUUAGAUGUUUACACCUGUGCCUCCCCCAGAAUCCCAGUCCUCUCUCUCUCACUGACCCCGAAGAUAAGCAUUGGAAAGGGGAGCUUUGGGGAAAUGAAUCUGCCCUGUCAUCUGCGUAUAGAGCUAAUCUUAAAUCCCAACUGCCAAAUGGAUCCUGAGGUGUCAGAAACUCUCCCGAGAUAAGGGGGCUUCUAGCAACCAUCUGCAUUCUGGACCCAG